CUCGGCCCGUCGGGCGAGCAACCGGCGCCCCCUUCCUCGUACAGGCCCAGGGGGUCGCUGGGGUCGGCGCCGGCACCCACGCCGCCGACGGGCGAGGACGACGCGCCCAGGCCGCCGAACAGGUGAUGUAUGACAAUGUUCAGCAGCGGGGAAAAUAGCAGAGUGAGUUGGCACAUGUCACAAAUACUCCAGUUCUCCUUUUGGGCAACGUCAUUGCACUGGAUAAUGAUGGCUCUGACCCGCAGUCUUGCACCAUCCGGUUGUCAAGUCAAGCGACAUGAUUCAACACCACCAAUGCAUUAAUCCUCACCACUGAGAAGCAACUGCAAGUGUCCCAAUUACAGAUAAAAAUAUCUGCCAAGAGACCUAGUACCUGCUUUGUCCGCGUCUUCAAGCACAAAAUCUAGAAUCAUGGUCCACUGCAAAAAUCACAAUACAGGUUUUGCUAGAGAUUUGUGGAUUGGCAGGAGGAAGUCACACUGCAGAUCUCUGGACCUCUGACUGUCUCCCUUGUUCUACCUCUAUUGCAUCACGUUGAAACGAAUCAAAUCUUCCGCAAACAAUGUUGUCAAAGGCACCAUACUGAAUGUAAAUCAUCUCUCCCUCUCUCAUCACUUUUAACUGAAAACUUUUGGAAAUCAAUGGGUGAAUGUGUUUAUUGGAAACAAAGGCUUACCAAUGACCUUCCUUCCUUCGCUCUUCUCUCUCUCUCUAAACUCAUCUCUAAUGACUUAGGGUCCAGUGCAUCCCUCAACACAUACUCAAGAGUGUCGCCAGAAAUGUCACCACUCUCGCAACUGCCUCUUCCCACCCUUUGAAUAUGAAAGACUUCUAAAAGAUAGUCUUUAUUUUUAAGAGCAGUUCACAACAAAAUUGAAUAGAGAGUAGAGAGUUCCCAUCUACUCCCUGUCCCACAUACACAGAGCCUCCCCCUCUGCCAACAUUCCACAUAAGAGGGGUACAUUUGCUGCAACUGAUGAGCCUACAUCAGCACAUCAUUAUUAUCCAGAGUCCCUAGUUUACAUUAGGUUCACUCUUGGUGAGUGGAAGCUUUUUUAGCCAUGGGUUUCAUGACACUUGCUCUGUGAUCCGAGUUCUGCUGGGCCUUAUGAAUUGAUGUUUCUCCCCUGAUGUCCCCAUCCUGAGGGCAGGGACUUUAGUUCCAAGCCAUCAACAUUCUGUACAACUAUUGCUAUGGACUUCAAGUUCUAGAAUAGAAGAAGUACACUUAUCCUACGGGUUGGGAAGAGUCACAAGCCUGACUUGACACAAGGCGUCAGGGGUGAGCUCACACGGGUGCGUUUUCAGGACAGGGGCCGCGGUGGUGCCCUGGAAGGCUAGUGGGUUGGAUCUCCUUGUGUGACUUAAUCAGAGCCAGAUGCAGUGAGUUCAGCUCAACGGCAGGGUGACAGCAUCAGAGGCAGAGUAACAAGUUGCAAGCGCUGUUUAAAAAGAAGAGAGAGUCUUGGCCCUGCGUCUCUUAUUACAUUUGGAUCCUCGAUUUAUUUCUACAACAGCCUUGGUUCCAAAGCAAACACGUCUCAGCUGAUGUGCUCUGCUGCGGGCUUCUGAACCCAGCCAGGCCCUGACGGCUGCACCGUGCGGGCCCGUGAAUUCACCACAGUGACUGCUGACCUUCUCGUUGUGCAACCGGAAGGAGCCUUCGUUUUUCAGCGAUUCUGAAGACCAAACGCCUUGCCGAGAACAGUUUCUCAGGGAGCUCAGAUGCGGCAGACUAUGAGAAUUUGGAGGACGGUUUAUCUUGCUAUUUCAUAACCCCUAAAACUCCUGUUAACACGCUGAAGUCAGACAGCCUUGUAAUUUUUUGGACCCUGGAAUCCAAGACAAAGGGAGGGCCAACUUCAAACUUGUUUUAAAUUCGUGGAAAAGCAGAUUUUCUGUUGGAAUUGUGACUCAUUUAAGUGAUCGUGAAAGACUGAAAAGUCACCUUUCCAGUGGGCCUUCCUUCUUGAUCAACAAAAUCAAGAAGAGGGCUUCUCUGGGCUUUCUUUCUUAAAGUGGAGAUCAGGUGACUGCAUCCGGGCCACACAAAAUGCCAUUCUGAGGAGGCCCUGUGGCCAGGCUGACUGCAGCCGUCAGCCCCGAAUGUCGAGGGCAGAGGGGCCUAGAGACUAUCCCAGCCUGUGCCUGUAUCUUCAACACCAUUGUCCUGACAAUGAAAAGUGUUUCCGAACAUCUCCUGUGCUAACUCACAAAGCCUGUGCUGCUGCUGCUGCUGGAGACAGUCAAGAAGUAAAGCUUUUCAGGAGCCACACCUGGAUUGUAACGUAGAGAGGGCUGCACACGUAACAGACCACCCCUGGGGGCAGGGUUCCCGACCAGCGUACGUACUAGCCAGGCCUCUGUUCUCCCAUCUCUAUUUUUGAGAAUAGAGAUUAAAAAGCAACAUCCCUAAUCAUCAAGGACCUAGUGUACAGCAGAGGGAAUUCAACACUCUGUAAUAACCUAUAUGGGAAAAGAAUCUGAAAAAGAAUAGAUCCAUGUAUAUGUAUAGCUGAACCACUUUGCUAUACACCUGAGGCUAACAUAACACUGUUAAUCAACUAUAUUCCAAAAUAAAAUAAAAAUGUCAAAAAAAUAACAUCUGUAUGUCUCACAGGCUGCCUUUUGGAACAUGUAAAGCCCUUUGGAACAUGUAAUGCUAAAUGAAGCCAGGGACCAGCCUGGUCCACACACUGCCCGGGGUCUGCCAGUUGAGGCAGCAUCACUUUCAUCCCUCUUUGGCCUGCCUCUGCAUGGGGAGGGAAAGCCAGGAAGCAAGAAAGCCUUUGAGUCACUGAGUAACUGAUUGGUCCAUCAGCCACGGUGACCUAAUCUCCUGGUCUCCAGAUUUACCCGGAGGACAAGUUUGUAUUUGUUCUCAGUCUGUCCUGAGCUGGGCAAGUAGCUAAGGCCUUGGAAGCAACGAAGCACAGGACCCAGCGCAAGAGCAAGUUUCUUGGGGAAAGGGAGGGUAAGUGAUAGAAGAUAAGGAACAGCCCAUAGGAUAUCCAAAUCGAAGAUCUAUGAUAUUUCCACCAAUGCAUUUCAUGGUAUUUUGGCCAGACUCCAAUGGUUACAAAUUAAGUAAGCAACUCAUUCGGUGGUUUAGAGCCUCUGCUUUCUCAUCUAUAAAACAGGGAGUGUUCCACCUUCCCCAGGGAGAUGGUGUGAUUGAGUAAUUAAUGAAAAAGGGCCUCUAUCAGGCUGUCACAUGGCAAUAUUAUUAUUAAUCUUUGACUAACUGAUAUCUAAAAAAUCACAGCCAACUUCAUGUAACAAGAAACUCUUUAAAAAACAUAAAAAGAGUGUGCUGUGUGUCCCAAAGUUUCCUCUUUCCUUCCCCCUCAUUACUAUCAUUUAUUCUGAACCCAAUUUGUUGAAUCAAUUUCUCAAUCUAUCAAUUAAUGACAUCCUAUUGUUUCCUUUCAAUAAAAAUUAUAUUGAUUCCAGACUCGAGGAAGAUGGAGAAGCUCUGGGCAGGAACUGGGAGAAAAGGCAAUGCUAUCGUUAUUUUUACACACACACACACACACAAUCAGAGCUAAAAAUAGUGCAGGGAUGAUUCAGAAAAAGAUCUAGAUGUGACAAUCUUAGAUUGUCCUUUUUAUUUCUGCUAGACUAUCGUGCCUCCUACUGUUUUAACCUAGUUUUUCAAAUUUAUUUUCUGUACUCCAGCAGCAUCCUGCCUGUCACGAGGGGUUUUUAUUGCUAUGAGAUCUCAUGCCAAGAGAUUUGUUGCCGCUGAGAACAUCUUUAGGGGAUAACAUGAUUUAAUGAUUAAGCCUCUGUAAGUAAAUACGUAAGCACAAACAUGCAAGAACAUAUCAUCUGCAGACGUGCUCAUGUUAACAAAGAUCUUUCAAUUCCUAAAUAUUUGCCCAAAUCUCAGGACUUUGCUUUACUCUUUUGGUUUGUCGAGUUCCCGCUGAUGCCCUGAUUAUACCCACAGCAAAUGCAUCAGGUGGGGUCUGGCUGGCAUGCUUGUGACCAGAGCAUCCUCCCACCCCAUCAGUGCCAGCCUGAAAGGGCCUGGGUACCAGGGAGGUGAACAGGGGCACAGCUUGGAGGUGUGGCAGGGAGGGGAAGGGGGCGCUCAUUCCUACUCUGCCCCCUCCGCCCCUCAGGAGAGGCUGUGACCCCUACUGCGGCCGCUCACCUUGCCGGUCACAAGAGCCCCAGAGGCUCAGCUCCGCAGGACGUGCCAGGGCUGCGGUUGCUGCCGCCACAGCCUGGCUUCUGCUCCCGUGGGAUCACAUCCAGGGCAGAUGCCCCGGGCCCCGUGGGUCCAUGUCGGUAGGGGCAGCUUUCCACUACAGGUUUCUCCCCAAGGCCACCGAAUGCAGGCCUCCAGAAUGAGAGGCUGGCGUUAGUCUAAUUUCUGUUUUAUGUCAAAAAAGAGGAUGCCCGUGACCAAAUAAAAAGGGUGCUGAGAGCGCUCACUGGGGAUGUGUAAAAGCCAGCUCAGUCAACAACAGGUACGUACAGGGCCAACCCACACAGUUCUGGGCAGGGGUUCAGAGCUGCCUGCCUGGUGGCUCAGACGGUAAAGAAUCCUGUAAUGUGGGAGACCCAGGUUCCAACCCUGGGUCAGGAAGAUCCCCUGGAAAGGGAAUGGCAACCCACUCCAGUAUUCUUGCCUGGAGGAUUUCAUGGCUAGAGAAGCCCGGUGGGCUACAGUCCAUGGGAUCACAAAGAGUCAGACACGACUGAGCGACUAACACUUUCACUUCACUUUUUCAGAGCUGCUACAACCAGAGGGCAUUUGUGACACCUGGAAACAUCUGGUCAUCUCCACCUUCUGCCGAUCAGUGGGACAGGGAAGCCAGAGGGAAGUGGGUUGGAAGAGGGCUGCUUCACAUUUUCUAGAAAUCGAUCUCUCCACCUAAAGCUCCAAGGGGCUUUUGACCCCCUCUACUGCCUGGGUGGGGCAGGUCAGAGGAUGUUCCAGAUCUGGAGAGGAGCAGGGGCCACAGCCCUGGGCAACGAGAUGGGCUCUCAAGCUCAAGCAGGGGUCGUUCAUUUGUCAAGGCAAAGGUACGUUCCUUGAAAGCGACACAAUGAAAAACAGAGCCAAGAGAACUCUAAUGAUACAGAUGACACUCUCUACAGGAGAAAAUCAUUUUUUCCCCCUCUGAAUAAAAUGGCUUGAUAGGGACUUGGAAUAAGGAAGAAAAGGUAGAAGUGAAGCCCAGACAGCGUGAGACUGAGAGAGCUGGAGAAACAAGGAAGACCGCCCAUAGAGGAAAUGUGGCGGUGGGAGGGGAGCUUAGAUGAAGGAAGGAAAGGAAGGAAGAGGGUAGCCCGUAGUCUCUGGUGAGGUCUUACUCCUUCCAAUACAUGCAUAGACACAGUCCUCUUGCCUCUUCUGAAACCUCUGCUCCUAUGCUUUUCUGUUCCUGCUAUAGGCAUGGUUGCCUCUUCUCAGACUCGGUUGCUCAUUCAGCUUCCACCAGCUUCCAGACGAGGGGAGAUGUCCGUAACCUCACCAGCAUGCCUGCUCUAGUGUCCAGGGGGGUCAGUUCCAGGAACCCUGAGGUCCCCAAACCCACAGCUGUCAAGCUCCUUAUUUGAAAUGGUAUAGUAUUUGCACAUAACCUGCAUACAUCCUCCUAUAUACUUUAAAUCAUCUCUAGAUUACUUAUAAUACUUCGUAAAAUGUCUGCUAUUAAAUAGUUGCCAGCAUGUGGCAAAUUCAAGUUUUGCUUUCUGGACCUUUCUGGAAAUUUUUUAUUUUUUUGGCUAUGCCGCAUGCCUUUUGGGAUGUUAGUUCCCUGACCAAAGAUUGAA